AUGGCCAAAGGACUAAAAAGGAGCAUGUGCAAGGAGACAAGGCGAGAAGUUCAGCUGAGGGGAAGAUUGCUUACUUCAGCCUCAAAGACCCCCAGACAACCCCAGGAUGACCAACAAAGAGCAGUGCACAGUCGCAAAGAGGACAUGCAAAAGAGGGAAGAGCCAAAGCAAGACUACUGCAUUUCAAAUUAAAGGUGUAUGAAGACAAAGAAAUGUCUCCACCAGAGGGCUCCAAUAAUGCAACAAUUCUGAUCGGUCGCUUUUCACUGGCAGGAUCACCAGCAUGGAGUCAGUUGAUGAUAAAUGGUGCCUAUGAGACCAAAAUUGUCUUCAAAAAAUGAAUUUAAAUUGUUGAGAUGAGUGUCCUACUGCAAUCGGCAGAAUGGUGAAUGCUCCUGAAGGCACACGCAUUCCAGUUUCAACUACUCAAUGACUCUAUAAAUAUGAUUUCAUCUUCAUUUGUGUAAGCAUCAGCAUGAGGAAAAAAAAUCCCCAAAGAGUAAAUUAAAACCAAAAAAAUUCUGCUACAGAAGCAUUUAUUGGCAUUCCAAAUGCAUUAAAAAUACAUGUAGAAAUUACAACCAUCAGCCUAAGCACUGCAAUGAUGGUAAAAGACAAGCAAGUGAAAAAAAAAAAGACCUUUAAUUUUUAUUUGAGCAUAUUUAAAUCAUAAGAAGGACUCAAGUUUGGCACAUUCAUACUCCCAUGUAAGGAAACUCUCUGUACGCCUUUUGAUCAGCUGAAUUUCCAACAGUUUUAACUGUUCACUGUUUCUCAGCUUUGAUCCCAUCUUCUGCUUGCAGUGAAGUUAAACAUUCUUUUUUCCUUUUUUUAAAUGGAAUACUUAAGUGAAAUAUUUGUCUCAGAGAUUUAAAUGAAAUACAUCAAUCUGAGUUAUCUAGUUAUUUGUCAAUUUCAAUUAAUUCUCCAUUUCUGCUUUUCUUAUAAUUGAAAAAGCUCUUAAAAUGCUCUUGAUCCUAUACAUAAAACUAAAGUUCCAUUCUCUGCCAAUUAUAUGCAAGAGUCUGGCACCAUGAUUCCUGUCAGGAAUCCUUUGACACAGGAAAAAUUCCUUUGAUCAGCUGUAUAAUGAAUUCUAAUUUCCAAAGUAUUUUUAGUUUCACUAAACCUCUGCAUAUUCAGAAAUCAGAGUUCAAAUAGGUACAGGAAAUUUUACUCUAAAGGCAUCUGCUUGGAACAAUUACAAAGAGUUUGAGGCCAAGCUAUACAUUAGGGUAGAAGAAAUGUACAAUGAAAGAAUUUGAACUAAAUUAAAAAUAUUUAAUUCAAAGUUUAGAAACAUUUUAACAACACACAAGCUACUAAUUAGAUUCUGUUUAAACCUGAUCUUUACCUGACUUAAUUUAAAAUGGGAUUUGCCAGUGGAACUGAUUUCUUGUAAGUUUCACUCUUAAGGUAUAUGCUAAGUUUAUGUUUAGUUUCUAACAGAAUACUACAUCAAAUUCUACAGUGUAAGAGCAUAUAAUAGUCUCCAUGGCACUGCUUCUGACAAAAUAGAAACUAGUCUUCUACAUGGGAGGAGAUAAACUGAGAGGUUAUAACUGCAUUUAGGCUCGAGAUCUCCUCAGGAAAGAAAACCAAACAAAAACAAAACAAACCCUACAGCCUUUCAGUGUAAAACCCCUUAUGUUGGGCACCCUUAUCAUACAUACUGACAAUUACCCAGCUUGGGUUAGACAAGCAAUUUUGUCAUAACUCCCCUCAAAUUGCACUUCUGUACAGUUGAAUCUUGUAUAAAAUUUCACAAAGGAGAUACAUACAAGGAAUAAUAGAGAAAAUUAAAGAUGAUGAUUUAAAGAUCUUAAUUUCUAAGCACACAAACCCACAGUCAACAUCAGUUCUUAAGGUGAAACUCCAGAAGAAACAACUCUUUUGUUGCUAUAAGUCAACUUAACUUAGUUGACUUAGUUUCAAGGGAACCAAGCAAUGUACACCAAACAUGUGGAAAAUGAUUCAAAAGAAGAAUGGUCAAGUAGCAAGCAUUACAUGGUUUUUAUAUCUAAAUUAUGUUCUCACUUUUCAAAUGCAUCUCCCAGCGUCAGGCUAGGUAAACAGUCUGGCUGAUAAACCGAGGGAAAGCACAGAGCCACAGGCAUGCACUGAACAUAUGUGAAAAAAAAUGUUUUCAGGGCUAUUAACUACAAAGAAAAGUGGUAUGUAUUUAUACAAAGAUAGGUAAAAACACGCCAACACUUUGCCCUGUAAAAGCUGUUUUCUAAGCCACUCAAGACUGAAAUGCAACAUCAGAGUAUGAGCCUCAGUUUCACGAUUAACUGUGUCUGACGACAGCAAGUAACCUCUGCCUCAAGGCUGCACUAGCCUUGUCAGCCUCUAAAGGCAUCUGAUUUUACAAAAGCAAACAAACAAACGAAUCCAAAGUAAAUAAAAAUAUCUAUAAUGGGUUCUUUAACAUAGAACAACUGCUGAGUUGCAGACAUAUCUUUGAGCAAAGGCAACUGUUCCAAAAAUUCUAAAAUACAUUUUAAAUUCUAAAACAUAAAGGCACCCCUACAGUACCUUUUUACACAUAUAUACCUGUACCUGUCAGAAUAGGUAUAUUUGGAAGAGGUGCCUAUCUGGAAACUUGAGGAGGCUAUGAAAGAGCAAAAAGUGCUGAACAGGUUUGCUAACUCAUUAUCACACUCCAUAAAUAUCCAAAGCCAUACUCAUUGUUCUGCAUAAAAAACUGCUGUCUGGACAAACCCUGUGAAUGGCACAGGAUAAAGACAUGCCUGGGGUGUUCUUUAAAGUUUUGUUCAUCUGUGUCCUAUAAAAUAUUUUUGCUACUUUAUUUUAAACAUUUAGAGUUUAAUAUAAAUCCUCCAUGAAGGAACUGGAGAAAUAAAGAGAUCAUGGAUAAGGCUGGGAUUAUGGAUAAGCAGUAUGGUUUUCCUACAUGUGUUGAGAAUUUUAGCAUGGUGCAAUGUGGUUUAUCUGUUUUAGAUUUGCCACCUUCUACAGUGAACAAUGAAUAUGAAGAGGGGGAUUAAGACCCUGUUUUCCAGUGAUCAAUUGACAACACCAAGAACCAUCACGCAUGCACCGCAUUUGUUCUAGGUAUACACAGCACCUUCAUUAAAUGCAAUUCCAACUUCUAAAUAAGUAUACCCUUUGCAUAAAAUUUUGGAUGGAAAAUAAAUUCACCAGCACCAACAAAGCCAAGAUCACUUCAACCUCUCAGUUUUCUUGAACCCACUCCUGAUGCUACUUCCUCUUCUCUCAGCAGAAACAUGCGCUGCUAGAGGACACGAGGUAUAGCGAGGGUUCUGAAUAUUACGCACCGCAACUACAGGUUUUCAUGAGGCAAAAAGCCUUUAUUUCAGGGUCUUCUCAACCCUUUUAUAACCUGACCCAGGUUAUCUUGACUGGUAGAAGGAACAACACCUCCCUCAUCCCAUUGGUGGGACAAGAGACAAAACACUCUCAGAACAUCUGUGUCUUGUUUUGGGAAACCAAGCCUUGUUUUUACACAACAGUCCUUGAGAGCUAACAGUUCUCAAAAAACCUUCCCUUGGGAACAAUCAGCCCCUGAGAGCUUGAAAUUCUCUCAGGUUCAGAAAUCAUGUCUACAAACGUGUUUCUGUAAUUUCUCACUAUUCACUACCAAAUAACUUCUUCCUUACUGAAAGCAGGGUCACCUGGGUUGGGGCAGUCCCAAACAUGAAUACAGACUGGGAGAAGAAUUCACUGAGAACAGCCCUGCAGAGGUGGAUUUUGGGGUUCAGGUGGAUGAAAAGCUGGCCAUGACCCAGUGAUGUGCACCUGCAGCCCAGGAUGCCAGUUUUUCUGGGCUCAUCCAAAGCUGAGUGGCCACCACGGUGAGGGAGGGGAUUCUGCUCCUCCACUCCACCCUGCUGAGACUCCACCUGGAGUGCUGCAAACUGCUCUGGGCUCCUCAGCAUAAGAAGGAUAUCGAUCUGUUGGAGCGAGCCCAGAGGAAGCCAGAAUGAUACUCAGAUGGCUGGAGCACCUCUCCUAUGCAGAUAGGUUGAGAGAGAUGGGGUUUUUCAGCCUGGAAAAGUAUCCAGGGAGACCUUGCAGAAACCUUCUGGUACCUAAAGGGGGACAUAUAAAAAAGAGGUUUUUUGCAUGGGCAGGUAAUGGUAAGACAUGGGGGAAUAAACUAAAGGAGAUGAAGGAUUAUGAAGAAACUCUUGACUGUGAGGGUGGUUAGGCACUGGUACAGGUUGCCCAGAGAAGUUGUGGAUGCCCCAAACCUGGAAGUGUUCAAGGCCUGGCUGGACAGGGCUUUCAGCAACCUUGUCUAGUCCAAGUUGUCCCUGCCCAGUGAAGGGGUUUUGGAACUGGAGGGUCUUCAAUGUCCCUUCAAACCCAAACACUUCUAAGAUUCUAUUAGCAUUUCUCUCAGAAAUACAAGCCAAGAGGGAAAAAACACUAUCUGGCAGUUCAAUGCAGGAUUUAAAUCAAACUCUGCUGCUCAAGUGAGUCCUUUGAUCAUGACCUGUGAGAUAUUUAGAGUCAUCUUUCCUUCACUGUAUAUUCAGGUCUUAAAAUCAAAUUGAAGCAUAUAGGAAAAUAACACUCUUUAAUCUGGGAUAUAGAAUACCCUUCCAAGCAGUGUGAGAACUGAUUUUUGGCCUCUAGCUCAACAACUAACAUGGUAAUAGUGCAUGCAAAAUGAACAAUUAAGCACACCCUGACACAUGCAUUACACAAGUAAUCCACAUCCUGAAUUUUAAUGCUCCAAACUUUCCCAUGACAAAUUACUGCAGAAUAACUCCUGGAGGAAGAGAUUAAAGGAAAGAUGUCAGUACUUGCUCCUCAGUACUGAAAUUCUCAAUCUUACCAGGUGCAUGCAAAGGAAAUGAGUGAGAACUCUUUUCUAAUGGCUUAGAGGUGAAAAUCAGUUCUAAGAGAGCCCUGCAGUGCAUUUUGAUGCCAUCUACCUCAGAUAUGGUAGCCAGCUGGCUACCCAACUCACAGUUGAGUUUAAUGCACACUGAAUAUCAAGUGUGGAUGCAAAUGAGACAUGCAACGGGGCCAACUGACCUCUUGAUUGCUUGUGCAAUUGUACAAUCUUCCCAAUGCCAAGGGCACUACCUUGGCACUCUUGCUAUUGUCCUGACCCACUGCUGAGGGAAGGAGAUACAGCUUUAAACCUCCCACCAGGCAAGAAAGAGAAAUAUUCUUCCAUAGCUAGACAAAGCAUACAUAUGAAGAGGGAGAACAUCUUCCAAGGGGAAUGAGACCACCAACAUUCAUUUUAUAAACCAGACCAAAUCUUAAACAUUUUUCUUAUGAAGUCUCCAAAACAAGGUAUUUUUUUGUGCUCAAGUAGAAUAUUUUCUUAAUAAAUGGAGCAAUAUUCUACAAUUGUCAUUUUGGGAAGAAAAAAGAAGAUUGAAAAAAACCAAAAUUCUCAUCUUUUACCUUUCUCAGAUUUUUCUGGUUGGCCGCCAAUGCAAAAUCCCCAUUAUCUGCCCAACCUUAGUGCUUGGUCCUUAGCAACAACAAAAAAAAUUAAAAAUAAAAAACAUACUUGAAAAAUUAUUUGAAUAUGAAAAACUGAUUAUUUAUGUUUCUGUUCUCUAAGGUAAAACAGAUUUACCCCUCUCUCUUUACCAGUCAUGUUUCAGCAGCGGCCAAUCUCACAUGCUUGUGUUCACUGCGGCUCAGUUGGCAUGAAGAAAGGCAAAGGAGUGGCUAAAUGUAACUACAGUCACAUUAGUAUGGGAAAAAAAAGGCAACAUACAGACAGACAUUUUAAGAGCUUACUAUAAAAAUAGAGUCGUACUGCUUAGGUGCUAUGGGGAGGAAAGUAAAACUUCAGUUUCUUAGAAUUCUUAAUCUACUUCUUAACCUCUUUCCCUCUGUUUCCUCAUAGGUCUAUGAUCAUCAUUCUGAUCCUUCUAAAGCUUUUUUCAGAUCUCUCAUUUUUGGCUUUGAUCACAAGAGAGUGCUUCUCACACAGGGAUUGCUUUUAUGAUGCUUCUGUGUUGACACAUUAAUAAACUAGAAUUGACUCUGUUUUAGUUGUUCUCUCAGUGUCAUAUUAAGCAGACACAGAAAUUUAACUAUGUUAUUAUUUUAGGAGAUUGCCUCUAGCUCUUGUUUUAGGAAAUUUUUAUACCAGUCAUGCCACAAAAGGAGCUCCCUGUAGCUACCACAGAAUGUCAGCACCAAUUUAUCUUCUAUAUCAAUUUAGGUAUUAAAGAAGCUCUCCGAAAUCCAGCCAGCCAUUUAAUUUCAUAGACAUGCACGAUUUCUAUUUUUAAACACUACAUAUGUAGAAGAUAAAAACAGCAUAAGGGUUUGAUAUUUCACUUACUAACAUAACAUAUAUUCCAGAUAUCAAAUUCAUCUUCCUACCCUUCCUUUUCUUUUUCUUCUUCUCUGUAGGAGACAGUGUAUCAGCACCCUUCAAACUUCUUUUAUACUAACUUUUAUUCCACAGUCUUAUAAAGCCCCCCUAAAUUUUAUUUGAAUGUGAUUGCUGGUGUCAGCACAGAGACUUGCUUUAUUUUAAACUUUGCAUAUAUUAAUUUAUUUUAGUUAAAUGAUUAUCCACAUAGUUAAUUAUUUGCACAUAUCUAUUUUUACCUUGUAAUCUGUAUUGUUCAACAUCUGACACUAUCUGUAUACUAACAGCAAGGGUCCUAUAGGAUGCUCCAAUACUUUUUAAUAAACAGUGACUAACAGGAGGCUGCAUGUUUGCUAGUUUAUGAGAAAGCAGCAGAAAGGUCACAGAUUUGUUAUGCCAAAGCCUCCUGUUAGCUUCUCCUUAGUUGCUGCUAUUUCUCUGGAAUGUCUGCAUGUGCUUGACAGUAAUUAUCUGCCCCAUGAAACCCACAGAGCCACUGUUAAAUCCCACACCUUACUGCACAUUGGUAACAUACUUGUCUUUAAAAAUGGGACAUCAACUAUGCGCAAAAAACCCCAAAACAAACCCACAAACAUCUCUUUCUGGCCAUUGCAAAUCAGAACAUCUCUCUUGCUACAAGAAGGGUACAGAAUUUGUGAACUCCCAAGGCAUUUGUUUGUAAGGUGGGCUUAGUAAAGAAAGAGUUUUUUACUGCUUGGUCCAAAACAGAGAAUCUGAUUGAACUGUUACUCCUGUACAAUGUGUGACUCUGAUUACAUCAUUCUGCUCAGCACAGAACAGGACGAGCCAGAGGCAUAUGGAAAGAAUCACGAGCACAGAUCUCCUCGGCCAAAACGCCCUUCUGGUGGGGAGUGCUCUAGGGGCCAGUCAGAUAAAAUGCCAGAAAACACAUCAAUAUCCUCUGUUCCCUCUUAAAAAAGGUAAUACGACUCAAAUAUAAGGACAAACUUCCCAUAAGAUUUUAGACAGUACCUGGAUAUCCAAGCCGUGGAAAACCAAGGGGUUUAUUUAAUACCAGCUUUUAAUUUUUUUACAGGCAAAACCAUUAAUGCACAUUUGUUUGCUGUUGCUAGUCUCCACAACAGUGUUGUUCCCAUAUCAUUUUGGGUGAUUGUUAUAGUUAGCUGUUACCCAGUGCCCCUGUGUUUAUUUUAAAAUGUAAACCUACUCCAGGAUGUAGCCAUUAGGGAUGCUCUGCUAAUGAGCAGCAUGCCUAUCAGCAUGGGUUGUUAUGACAAACGGCUCAGCCUCUGUUAGUUGACACAAAUGGGAACUCAGUUAUGGAAGUACUUUAUUAUGUGACAUAAAAUGACUAUUUUAAUAGAUGAGAAAGGACCAGAGUUCUUAAUUACAUGCCCCUUCCAUGUAUAUAUCAAUUACCAGUAGACUUUCUCAUAAUUGUAUCCUGGGAUAUUGAAUGAUAUUUGGACUACUGAGGAUUCCACUAAUGUAAAGAAGAAAUUUAAAAUGUCAGUCUCCUUAAUCUCCUAGCAUUCUGAAACAAAUAACCAGCAACAUUUUAAACCAUAUUUCUUUUAUUCAACUACUGCACAUGCUAAAAACAUACACUUUUGUUUUCUGGUGAGGCUUAAAUUUCACUUAACAUUGUCACAAAAACUAGAGGAAACUCAUUAAGAUGAUUUAAUUUUUUUUAUAAAUUCUAAAGCUAUUUUAGAGUCAAUGCCAUGACAGCAGAAGUCGAAAGAAAUCCAUAUAACACCGCUGAAAGAACUAAGCUGUCAAUGCCAGAUUUAACUUUCCAACAUGUUGAUGAAUCUGUCAAUGAUAAGAAAUAUAUUUUUCCAGAAAAUUUAUAUGUCAGUCUUGGUACCUACGUUACUGAGGAGGUCUAAGGAGAGGCCUGUUUUACUUGCCUUACUGAUACCUCUUUGGAAAAACACUCUUUCCUGAUGAAAUAAAUAGUUGUGGCAGAUCACUCUUCUAACAUGCAAGGUGCCAAGGGCAGGCAACAUCAAGACUGCUCCUUCUUUCCACCCUCCUGAUCAGAGCACGCGUGCCCUCAAAUUAUUUAAUAAGGACAAUAAUCAUUUUGUAUCAUCCAGAAUGAUGUUUUCCCAAAGGAAAAUACUGAGGAAAAUCAAACAUGCCUAGAUAGACUGGACAAAAAAUUCCACCACUGUGACACUGCCAGAACAGCUCACAUAACAGCCACAACUUGUAUUUAUCAUGUUUAUUCUCCUAGUCUUAUCCUAAGUGGAGAAGUGCAUGCAGUAACAUAUUCUGGUACUUUUAAGUUGACUUUCUUAGGAAAAGCAGAUUUACAUAAUCUAUCUGCCCAGUCCUUCAGCCUCUGAACUCAGCCUAUUUGAGCAAAGCCAGACAGUGCAGUACAUGCCUCAGAGAUGUCACAUUCCUACUUUUCUGAAGACCGCUGUUGGACGAGGGAGACAGAUCUAUAUUAUUGCCACCACUGAUGGGGCUAUAGCAUAAACUCCAUGCUGACAGCAUUCAGACAUAAGUUCUCAGGGGGGAAAGAAAAAUGGAAACCAGAUCCAUGUUUCUGCCACAGCAUUUGAAGGGCUGGCCAGCUGGAGGUUAUACAAAGGGCAGCUUAGCCCAGCUCUACUGCCUAUGUUUACAAUUUCCUCCUGCACUUCCACUACUGCUAAGCACAUUGCAGCCACUUCUUUUGCAAAGCAGAGAACCCUGAUUAAACCUUGACUGAUUUCUGAAUGGGAUGUCUACAUCAGAGGGGAAAAAUGGCGAAAGUAUGGGUUCUCUUUCACCAAGGUAAUGCAAGAUACUUGCUUGAGAAAAAAACAGUAGCUGGAGGCAGUAAACAACGUCAAAGCCAAGUGGAAAUGGGAUAUCUGCUUGGUUCUGAUUGGUAUCUGGUCAGCUGGGACAAAGGAGAGCAUUAUAACAAGGGACAGAAUAACCACAAUUAAUCCAGGUCAGAAAUCACAGGACAUAAGGAAAUUAAAUAACUUUGAGACAGAGAGUGACAUGUAGGAAACUGAAAAAAAGCCAGAUGCAAACAAGUUAUCCUACUCAAAGUAAUGCUUUCCCCUCUUUCUUAUUUCAUUAAAACAAAUGGCCAUGUAACUAUACCCUACCCAAAACAAGUUAAGAAAGAGUGUGAACAAUGAAACUAAGGAGGAAGGUGUUGACUUUGGAGCAGUCUGUCUCCUGUUGGAGAUGGUCACACAUCCUCGGAUUCACCUCUGUAAGCUAUAGCCCUCUGUCAGUGUGCCAGGAGAAACACACAGUGUCUCCAGAGCUGAGACUGAAGCUUUGUAUUGCUAUGCUUCAGUGGAAGAUUUUGGAAAUUCCCACUGCUGCUGAGACAAUAUGUUCUUCCUAAAUCUCACAUGUCCUCUCUUCUGUGACAUGCAGGCAAUAUACGGCCAGCGCAUCCCUUCUGUCUCCCAUCACUUCUUUUGCUCUAGCUCAUGUAUUCCUGUGGCAUUCACCACUUUAACACUUAGUGCAAGGGAACCCAAACACUAUCAUGCCUUUUCACUCAUGUCCAUCAGGAGGAUAUAGAUCCCAAGCUAUGCUAGCUCAAAUCCAACAUAAUUCCAGUGAGGGCCCACGGAAGGAUAACAUUUAUAGAUGGUUACUAGAAGGUAAGGAUUAGUAGUUUGAGCAAUGAAUACUGCUUGAAUACUUAAUGCUUCUCUUCCUAUGCUGACUUGAAUCUUGACUCACACUUCUGCAGAGCUGCUGUCACCACAUAGCUGUAGAAGAGCAGCUACCACAGCAGGGAGCAGUACCCCAUCCUGCUCCAUCUCGCUGUCUGGGCAGAUGCCUCUGUCCUGGAAAAGCCCACGUUCCUGUCCUCUGACCUAUUCACAGUGAUAGCAAUCCUGGAACCUAGUCUGCAAGGUGUACCAUGUGGCAGCUGCUGCAGGGAGGUGCAGGAAAUGCAUCUACCUGAGCAAAAAGAGGACAUAAACUGCAGGUGGGUAUGAAAAGGAGACCUUGGGGUCUCAACUCUAGAAUCUCUCCUACAAUGAGAACAAUAACUUCUGUCCCCCAGAAAGAGUGUGGUACAGAGAAGACAGAGUAAUCUGUAGGGAUGACAACUCACAUCCAGAGGAAGUUAAUCCAGGAGGUGGUCAUCAAAACACCAGUUACUCGGGCAGUUCCAGUAAUCAGAUGGACAACUGUCGUGUCCUAGUAUGUCUUAAGGAGCAGUCCAAGAAUCACGCAGCCAAAUGAAGCUACCAGUCUGAACUACAGCUCAGACACAUGCUCAAACAGACUGUAGAAGCCCAAGAGUAUAAUUUUUACCUACACCUAAUUACACCUUUUUCAUAGGCCCUCCCCUUCCUAAAUUCUUCCCAAGGAAGAAUUAAUUACCUAAAAGAUAUGUAAGAAUCUGGGGGGGGG